rnacentral:rRNA from 1 species
CCUACGGGGGGCUGCAGUGGGGAAUAUUGGACAAUGGGGGGAACCCUGAUCCAGCCAUGCCGCGUGUGUGAAGAAGGCCCUCGGGUUGUAAAGCACUUUCAGUGAGGAAGAACGCCUGGUGGUUAAUACCCAUCAGGAAAGACAUCACUCACAGAAGAAGCACCGGCUAACUCCGUGCCAGCAGCCGCGGUAAUACGGAGGGUGCGAGCGUUAAUCGGAAUUACUGGGCGUAAAGCGCGCGUAGGUGGCUUGAUAAGCCGGUUGUGAAAGCCCCGGGCUCAACCUGGGAACGGCAUCCGGAACUGUCAAGCUAGAGUGCCGGAGAGGAAGGUAGAAUUCCCGGUGUAGCGGUGAAAUGCGUAGAGAUCGGGAGGAAUACCAGUGGCGAAGGCGGCCUUCUGGACUGACACUGACACUGAGGUGCGAAAGCGUGGGUAGCAAACAGGAUUAGAUACCCGGGUAGUC